rnacentral:snoRNA from 1 species
UGCCUUUAGUGUUGCCCAUUCAUUCUUACACACUAAUGGAUGCGGUGUCAGCGAAGGCACAGAUUAAAAACCACGUGCAGCUUUUCCCCACACUAGAAUUGUUUUCUACUGUGUUGGCUGCAAGUGGGACAGCG